rnacentral:rRNA from 1 species
GGGUCCUACGGGGGGCAGCAGUGAGGAAUAUUGGUCAAUGGGCGGGAGCCUGAACCAGCCAAGCCGCGUGAGGGAAGAAGGUACAGCGUAUCGUAAACCUCUUUUGUCAGGGAACAAAGGCGGGGACUAGUCCCCGGAUGAGGGUACCUGAAGAAAAAGCAUCGGCUAACUCCGUGCCAGCAGCCGCGGUAAUACGGAGGAUGCGAGCGUUAUCCGGAUUUAUUGGGUUUAAAGGGUGCGCAGGCGGUCUGUUAAGUCAGCGGUCAAAGCCCGGGGCUCAAGCC